rnacentral:rRNA from 1 species
AGCUAGUUGGUGGGGUAAAGGCCUACCAAGGCGACGAUCUCUAGCUGGUCUGAGAGGAUGAUCAGCCACACUGGGACUGAGACACGGCCCAGACUCCUACGGGAGGCAGCAGUGGGGAAUAUUGCACAAUGGACGAAAGUCUGAUGCAGCCAUGCCGCGUGUGUGAAGAAGGCCUUCGGGUUGUAAAGCACUUUCAGCGAGGAGGAAAGGUCAGUAAGUAAUAUUUGCUGGCUGUGACGUUACUCGCAGAAGAAGCACCGGCUAAUUUAGUGCCAGCAGCCGCGGUAAUACUAAAGGUGCAAGCGUUAAUCGGAAUUACUGGGCGUAAAGCGCGCGUAGGUGGUUUGUUAAGUUGGAUGUGAAAGCCCAGGGCUCAACCUUGGAACUGCAUUCAAAACUGACUCACUAGAGUACGAGAGAGGUUAGUGGAAUUUCCUGUGUAGCGGUGAA